GGUUGCCUGGUGUAGUGGUUAUCACAUCUGUCUUACAUUGAAUCCCAAUGUGAGGACACAGAAGGUCGGCAGUUCGAUCCUGCCGGCAAUCA